GCUGGGUGUGGUUGCGUAUGCCUGUAAUUCCAGAAACUUGGGAGGCUGAGGCAGGAAGAUUGUGAGUUCAAAGUAGCCUCAGCAAUUUAGUGAGGCCCCAAGCAACUCAGCAAGACCCUGUCUCUA
rnacentral:sRNA from 1 species